GAUGAACGCUGGCGGCGUGCCUAAUACAUGCAAGUCGAGCGAACAGACGAGGAGCUUGCUCCUCUGACGUUAGCGGCGGACGGGUGAGUAACACGUGGAUAACCUACCUAUAAGACUGGGAUAACUUCGGGAAACCGGAGCUAAUACCGGAUAACAUGUUGAACCGCAUGGUUUAACAGUGAAAGACGGUCUUGCUGUCACUUAUAGAUGGAUCCGCGCCGCAUUAGCUAGUUGGUAAGGUAACGGCUUACCAAGGCAACGAUGCGUAGCCGACCUGAGAGGGUGAUCGGCCACACGGGAACUGAGACACGGUCCAGACUCCUACGGGAGGCAGCAGUAGGGAAUCUUCCGCAAUGGGCGAAAGCCUGACGGAGCAACGCCGCGUGAGUGAAGAAGGUCUUCGGAUCGUAAAACUCUGUUAUUAGGGAAGAACAAAUGUGUAAGUAACUAUGCACGUCUUGACGGUACCUAAUCAGAAAGCCACGGCUAACUACGUG
rnacentral:rRNA from 1 species